CCUACGGGGGCUGCAGUGGGGAAUAUUGGACAAUGGGCGAAAGCCUGAUCCAGCCAUGCCGCGUGUGUGAAGAAGGCCUUCGGGUUGUAAAGCACUUUCAGUGGCGAAGAAAGCCUUGGGGCUAAUACCCUCGAGGAAGGACAUCACCCACAGAAGAAGCACCGGCUAACUCCGUGCCAGCAGCCGCGGUAAUACGGAGGGUGCGAGCGUUAAUCGGAAUUACUGGGCGUAAAGCGCGCGUAGGCGGUCUGAUAAGCCGGUUGUGAAAGCCCCGGGCUCAACCUGGGAACGGCAUCCGGAACUGUCAGGCUAGAGUGCAGGAGAGGAAGGUAGAAUUCCCGGUGUAGCGGUGAAAUGCGUAGAGAUCGGGAGGAAUACCAGUGGCGAAGGCGGCCUUCUGGACUGACACUGACGCUGAGGUGCGAAAGCGUGGGUAGCAAACAGGAUUAGAUACCCGAGUAGUC
rnacentral:rRNA from 1 species